rnacentral:lncRNA from 1 species
UGGUGGUAAAUAUAAUUCGGUGGGACUUUGCAUUUAAAGAUUCAGUAAGAAACUGGAAAUUUUUCGACAGUACUAAGUCUUACGCUUCAGUAAGAAACCGGAAGUUUUUCGACAGUACUUACGCUUAAAAGUAUAUCAACACUAAAUAAAAUUGGAAGCUUAUAUUUGACCAUAUCAUUACGACGAAAAUCGACUUAUUUCAAUAUACAGCCAAAGGUUAUGAUACUCUAG